UAUCUGAAUUGACAAAAAAAUAUGUCAAGUUGAGAAAAAAACCACAAGAAGAACAAGAAAAUUGUUUGUUUCUUGUGCUUUGGCAAGGAUUAAUUGCUUUUUAACAAGCUUCACGACAGAAAAAAUGCUAUAAAUUCUGAAGCAACUAAUUGACUUUGAUAAUCCAAAAGUUCCAACUGGCAUUUGUGAGAUUUGCUGCUUUAACCUUAGGAGGCUUGAAGAUGGAAAGCUUUAAAUACAACUACAGCUGUUUGACUUCUACAAUAUCAAAGUCCGUCCUGUUACAAGAGAUUCAGUUUUUGAUUGUUUCAUUUGCUUAGUUAGCAAACCAAAACACAAUUCUCCAUAUUCCGUUUUGGCAACCCAGAAACCUAAAGCAAACCAAAACUCAGUUGAAAGAAAAUGUUCUCAAUGCUUUUCAAUAGUUGGCAAGGGUCUCCCACACAGUUGCUCAAAUUCUACCUUGCGAAAGAAUUUAGCAGAAGUUGCAGCAAAGGACACAACUUCUGCUAAAUUUUAUGGCUGCUGAAAGAGAGGCAGGAUUAGUCAUUGCCAACAAGGAAAUUUCACUCCAUGGAACAGCUUGUCUUAGUAGACCUGGCAGAAUAGGAGGCCACUCUAUUCCAGUUCUUCCAGUUCAUUUUCAAGAGCAAGAAGACUUUUCAAUAAAGAACCUGAACUGACAGCAAAAGAUUUUGUUUAUGUGAAACACUACACAGGGUUGUCCAAUUCUGGUGUGAAAAAGCUGGUUUUAAUACUAAAUCAAGUUGUUUCAAGUCGGAUUGUAGGAAAGAACUUCCUGUGUAGACCUGAGGGAAUAGAAGGCCAAUCUAUUCCAUUUCUUCCAAGUUAAUCUUCAAGAGCAAGAAGACUUUUCAGUAAAGAACCUGAAGAAAAAGGUCUUGUUUAUGUGUAACUUCCCUUUAUACAAAAUUCCCUUUUUUUUGUCCUGUGGUAUGAAGUUGGCAAAUAUUAUUUGUGGUCUAAAAGCAUAUUUUAGUGCACACUCAUGCAAUUGGUUUAACAUCAACACUUUGCAAGAUCUUUUAAUUUCAUCAAAAGAUCUUGCUAAGUGUGAAUUUCUAAGAACUUUUGGGUCAAUCAAAAGAGAUUAUCCGACAUUUAAUGUGGUUGGUGCUAACAUUAAGAAAGAAAAAUCGUUCAGAAACUUUUCAUGAACCCAUCAUCAAUACCUCAUAUGAAUCUUUUGUCCUUGAUUUACUUCUAUCCAUGGAGCUUCAUCUGUUGCUUGGUGUUGUAAAUCAUCUUCUACAGUCUCUCUCAAAGGUUUGGACACAUGCUCCUAAAUAGCUCGCAUUACUUCAUAUUCAACAGCAACCAUUUCAUGGUAGACAACUUCUUGGUAAUGAUUGCAAGAAGCUUUUGAAUAAUGUGGAUGUUUUGGAAAGAUUAUCGCAUAGAUUAAGAUUAUCGCAUAGAUUUAAGUGAUCUCUAAAUUUAAUAUAUCAUGAGAUAUAUUAAAUUUAGAGAUUUAAUCAAGGACUUUGCAAUGAAAAACUCCAUAAGAAAGAUAUAUUUGAAUAAUAAUUUCAAGCUUUAUGUAAUGUCUUCCGUCAUAGUAAUGCUGUCAGUUUAUAAAAAUGGUUUAGGAAACAGUAUCUACAAAUUCAGCUUUAAAACUGAUUUUUAUCUCUGCUUACAAACAGAGUUAAUCAAAGGUCUCCAUAUUUCAAGAAAAAUAAUGUAAAUAUUUUUAAAGUAAAA